GUCCACACGGUAAACGAUGGAUACUCGCUGUUGGCGAUAUACGGUCAGCGGCUUAGCGAAAGCGUUAAGUAUCCCACCUGGGGAGUACGCCGGCAACGGUGAAACUCAAAGGAAUUGACGGGGGCCCGCACAAGCGGAGGAACAUGUGGUUUAAUUCGAUGAUACGCGAGGAACCUUACCCGGGCUUAAAUUGCAAAGGAAUUGCGUGGAAACAUGCAAGUCUUCGGACCUUUGUGAAGGUGCUGCAUGGUUGUCGU
rnacentral:rRNA from 1 species